rnacentral:tRNA from 1 species
GUCUGGGUGGCUCAGUCAGUUAAGCACCUGACUUUGGCUCAGGUCAUGAUCUCACAGUUUGUGGGUUCAAGUCCCACAUUGGGCU